GAACGUUUGUUUUUUUCUGUCAUUAUAGAUGCUAGUUUGGUGAAAGUUCACACUGAGUGCUUCAAAUCAUUCAGAAGAGAUGCUGUUUUUAGGGCAGUUUAUUAAAGAAGACCUGACAUGCAUGACUCCCAAUGAGAAACGACUGCUAAUACUUAUAUAAAUUCAUUACAGAAGGACCCUACCAGACUAUAUUUGAAUACGGCAUACCCAUGAAUUCUGGAACUGUUAUUCCUUAACCCAGUUUGGAGGAUAAGAGCUUACCAACUAGUUAUAAAUAUGCUGAGGUGAUGUAUUGCAAAAUAGCCAACAUACAACAAUAUGGAUGACCCUCUGUCUGGUCAACAGGAGUUUAAAUAUGGACGGGACAGUGAUGUGGCAGCUCUUCCCUGGCUCAUUCACCUCUUGCCUUUCAUUUGUGAAAGGAAGAAAGAAGAAUAACUGGAGAGGGUCAAUGUGCAACUGAAGCUACUGAUUGUGCUAUGUGAUGAGCAUCAAUCCAUGCUUUGAGGGGAAUGAAUCAGCACAGCCCUGCCUGCACUGCGUUGGGAACAGAAGUUGCAUCCAGAAUUUUUGCAUCAUUCUGGACCAAAAAGCCAUUCCCUCCAUGAUGAAGACCACUGAUGCAGCCUACCACUACAUCAUGAGUAAAACAACUACAGAACUAAAUACCAGGUUGGAACGUAUUUAAGAAAAAUGAAACGUCUUUUGAAUUGAAAUGUCUGUUUUGUUAUGGAAAAAUCUUUAGUAUUGUGAAGGAUAAGCAUUUCUGCCUGCCAGUAAGGUAAUUGCAGUGUAUUUUAAUGUUCAAGUUUUGAGUAGGGUGGCUAAUUUUUUUUUAACUCAUUUGAUUUAUUAAAGACCUUAUAAUAAGUGGUUUUCAUGUCACUGCGCUGUGGUAUAAGAUAACUUUCAUUAUUCCAUACUGUAUUCUGUUUUCUAAUUGUAGCUGAGGUAUUUAAAUAAGCAGUGUUAAAUGCAAAGUGUUGUGUGUAUCAAUGUAAAUAUUAAAUGUGAUGUACUUUAAUAAAAAGAGGUUUUGCAAUA